CCGCAGACCAGGCCCGCGUCCCCAGCAGCGCGGAUCCCGGGGCCAGCCGCCCAGGCAGCAAAGUCAGGCGGUCGGCUUCGCCAGCAGCCGAUGAGUCUCAUCCUGUGGAUUGCCCAGCGCCAGGGAUCAGGAUCCGGAGAGGUGUCCAGGAGGAGCAGACCCUCAGACCAGAAUUCGACACCAAAUUUUGGAACUUAAAAAGAAGAUUCUUAAAACUUACAAUCCAGAUUCUGGGAGUUCUGAUGAAUAUGCAGUCAGCCCAGGGCUUCCCAGCUGUCUUCAUCCAGGCCUGCGCCGGUGUUCACAGUGGUCCUCAUCUAAGCCAGCCAAGAAGAUCUCUGUCAUCCACGUGACAGCCAGCCCAGAUGUCCCUAGCCGUCCUCAUCAAGGCCAGCCAGUUUGCUUACACGUGUGCUAAUUGGAGCCAGCCACCCUCAUAGAGGCCAUCCCAGAUUACGAUGAGGACCUGGUGCAGGAAGCUUCAUCUGAAGAUGUCCUGGGCGUUCAUAUGGUGGACAAAGACACAGAGAGAGACAUUGAGAUGAAACGGCAACUACGGCGACUACGGGAGCUCCACCUAUACAGCACAUGGAAGAAGUACCAAGAGGCGAUGAAGACAUCCUUGGGAGUUCCACAAUGUGAGCGUGACGAAGGCUCCUUGGGCAAGCCAUUGUGUCCACCCGAGAUACUCUCGGAGACGUUGCCAGGCUCUGUGAAGAAAAGGGUAUGCUUUCCAUCAGAAGAUCAUCUAGAGGAGUUUAUAGCAGAACAUCUCCCUGAAGCAUCCAAUCAGAGUCUCCUCACUGUUGCCCAUGCAGACACAGGCAUCCAAACCAACGGUGACCUGGAAGACCUGGAGGAGCAUGGGCCAGGGCAGACAGUCUCUGAGGAAGCCACAGAAGUUCACAUGAUGGAGGGGGACCCAGACACACUGGCCGAACUUCUGAUCAGGGAUGUACUUCAGGAGCUGUCCAGUUACAACGGCGAGGAGGAGGACCCAGAGGAGGUGAAGACAUCCUUGGGAGUUCCACAACGUGGUGACCUGGAAGACCUGGAGGAGCAUGUGCCAGGGCAGACAGUCUCUGAGGAAGCCACAGGGGUUCACAUGAUGCAGGUGGACCCAGCCACGCCGGCAAAGAGUGACCUGGAAGACCUGGAGGAGCAUGUGCCAGGGCAGACAGUCUCUGAGGAAGCCACAGGGGUUCACAUGAUGCAGGUGGACCCAGCCACACUGGCAAAGCAAUUGGAAGACUCCACCAUUACAGGCAGCCACCAGCAGAUGUCAGCAAGUCCUUCCUCUGCACCUGCAGAAGAAGCAACAGAAAAGACCAAAGUGGAAGAGGAAGUGAAAACCAGAAAGCCCAAGAAGAAAACCAGGAAGCCCAGCAAGAAAAGCCGGUGGAAUGUCCUGAAAUGUUGGGACAUUUUUAAUAUAUUUUAGAGACCUCUGAAGAUUCCUCGACCACCAGGAAGGGCCCCGACGUGGGGAUGUCAACAUGGCUCAGACUUGAUGUGGAUCGUGAUCAUUUCGGGAAAUGUGUUACUCCAAAAACUUUUAUAAUCUUUGCUUAAUUUGUUUUUAAAUACUUUCCUGGCUGGGCGUGGUGGCUUAUGCCUGUAAUCCCAGCACUUUGGGAGGCCGAGGCGGGUGGAUCACCUGAGGUCAGGAGUUAAAGACCAGCCUGGCCAACAAGGUGAAACCCCGUCUCUACUAAAAAUACAAAAAUUAGCUAGGCGUGGUGGCGCACUCUUGUAGUCCCAGCUAUUUGGGAGGCUGAGGCAGGAGAAUCACUUGACCUCAGGAGGCGGAGGUUGCAGUGAGCCGAGAUCAUGCCACUGCACCCCAGCACCUGGCUACAGAGUGAGACUUUGUCUCAAAAAAAAAAAAAAAAGAACAAAAAAAUUCUGACUUUAACCUCUGUUUUUCAGAGGGCACAAAUUGUUCUUGUAUUGUUUCCAUUUUACAUUUUUUUCUUGAAGUUAUUUUCCAAUUGUUUUCAUUCUUUCUGAAGUUUUGUUUACUCGGUUUUAAGUUUUUGUAAUUUUGAUAGACUUUUGUGCUUUCAUUUUCUUAAUGACUUUUACCUCAUUUUUAAAACAAAUCCAUAGUAUGGAUGAUAUUGAUGAUGAAAUGUCUUACGAUGAUCAUUUAGAGGUUUAUUUUGAACAACUGGCAAUUCCAGGAAUGAUGGAAUAAAGCAUACGAAGUAGAAGGACUGGAACCUCCAGAAAAAGUACUUUAAGUUACCUACAGGUGAUCCUAGUCAGGCAAAUGAAAACAGUAGCCUAAAGUGUCAGUUUCAACCAGAAAAUAACAGCUCUGAUUUCUCAUGGCUCAUACUCGUCUGAAACGACUCAGGUAGAGGCUGAGGAAGGCCGUGUUGUUUGUCUACCUGGGACUACACCUACUGAAAGAAGUUCUCAAGUUCUGAUUGAGUUCUAAAAUUUUUUGAAGAUUGGAAUUCUUCAUAUGUAAAAAGAGAAGAGAAAGACAUUCUUGAUUUUGGUGACUAGAGUUGUAGAUGCUGGAAGCUUUGCCACUAACAUUGAUGAACCAGAUGCAUGUCACCAGCCCAUCACGGUGAUUCUUAAUGCCGGCACCAUGGGCCCGGCACUGCCACGUUUUCCAAGGAACCUGCCGGAGCUCCUGCGGAAGCUGCUCCUCAGGCGAUGGAGUCCCUUCGCUGGUAGGCCCUUCUUCAGUCACCACAGGAUGCCUGCCAUUCAUGAACAAGAAGGAGAGGACGGGCUUUGAAUAAAAAACAGGAUCCAGGAAAUAUUUGUGAGGCCAUUUGGACUUCAGUGUGAAAUGGUGUUAAAAGAUGAAGUCAUUUAUUCAAGAAGUAAACCUCUGCCACCUGGACUGUGCGCAGACAUUUCAUUGAUUUUGUUUAAUAAACAUUUUCUGGCUUUGGGAGGUGUCUCUCUUGGUAGAACACAGUGUCAAAGAUGGACAAGAUGGACACAUAGUCCAUUAUUUGGUAUUGUUUGUGUAUGGGAGCAGACCACAAAUUAAUGUUUGGAGAACAAUUUUGUCAUAACACACUGUUGAGGCUCAGUUGUACAGAACUGGAAAAGUCUUCAGCUUGGCACAUGUCCUGAUUCAGCCUUUGUUUAACAUAUAUUCCAAUCCGGAUUCUAUCUUCACUGGCUACAAAGACCACCUGAUACGUGCACCACGACACAGGAGCUGCUGGAGAGGGGGUAGUGUUAUCACCUCAAACCCACAGCCAUAUUUUUCAAAAGCCAGCUUAGAGAGAGGUGUACUGAUAGCUGCAUAGAGAACAUGCAGUCCAUCCAUUCUUCCCAGUGAUGUACAUUUCUCAAUCAGUAACCACGUGGUAUACCAGCCUUGAGUGUCACAUCUCCCAACCAUACCAAAUGGAUCACCUAACUGGAGGUGGGGGGGGCCCUCAGAAAUGAGAUUUCGUAUUUACUGUAAAAUUGCCUUAUUUUUUCUUUUGAGGUGGAGUCUCACUCUGUUGCCUGGGCUGGAGUGCAAUGGUGUGAUCACUGCUCACUGCAACCUCCGCCUCCUGGGUUCAAGCAGUUCUCCUGCCUCAGCCUCCCAAGUAGCUGCAAUUACAGGUGCAUGCCACCACUCCCAGCAAAUUUUUAUAUUUUUAGUGGAGACAGGGUUUCACCAUGUUGACCAGGCUGGUCUCAAACUCCUGACCUCAGGUGAUCUGCCCACCUUGGCCUCCCAAAGUUCUGGGAUUAAAGGUACGAGCCACCGCAACUGGCUGAGAAUCUUUUUAUUUGCUGAUUUGUCUCUUGUGUAUUUUCUUUGUUCAGAUGUCUCUUCAGAUCUUUUUCUCACUUUUAAAUUGUUUUUUAAUUGUUAAGAAUUUUCUGUCUAGUUUAGAUAUAAGCCCUUUAUCAGACAUGUGUUUUGCAAAUAUUUUCUCCUAGUCUGUGGCUUGUAUUCUGUCUCUUAACACUCAUUUUAUUUUUACUUUUGGAACUAAAGAAGAAGAAUGGUCAGCUUUCCAUUAUUCUUGUAACAGUAAUGGCAGAACCAAGUCUGCUAAUGCUACACUGAGCAAAGAAAGUCACCUGGUGAAGUCCAACAUUAAUGAAAUGGGGUAGUACAUGCAGGCAGCGUUGGGGGUGGGGAGGGAACAAAUGCUUCUUGAGAGUAAUAUAAUCUGCCAUACCAUCCAGGAACCUACAAUGGCUAUCUAUUACCUUAUUCUCUGGUUUGUUUAAUGUUCGAAUCUUUCCGAAAGAUCCUUCAACCUUUCUGGAAGAAUCUAAUCUGAUAACACCAUCAAAAACACAUUACUUCUUUUGGCAUAAUUUAAAUUGUAAGACAUCAUUCACAUUUAUCAAUGUUACAUAUAUAAGAACUCACCCACCAUAUUCUUCCUUGAGGAAUUACAGCAUGUAAUUCUAUAAUCAUUUUUAUAAUCGUCUAACAAUUUUAUAAUGGAUUGGUUGCUUACUAUCAAUUUUUUAAAAGUCAUGGCUUCUCCAGUCAUUUCUUGCUUAUCGAAAUUAUUUCAUGAGAUGGGUCUCUCCUUGUAUAUUUGAAAAUGAGGUUUGCUUCCUUCUACUUAAAAAACAACUUGAACAUACCUGUUUGGAUCACAUGGUCUUGUCCUGAUAACUUGGAAGAGGUUGCUUCAGCAUUGUUCUUAUUGUUGUGGUGGUUAUUAUUAAUAUUGUUUCAUAUUCUGUUUAAAAAAUUAAAAUUUUACACAAGACCAAUGUCUUCUUUUCAAUUCCAGUACAUUUUUCAGAAGUAACUAAUGCUAUUGGCUUUGUGCAUUGUAAUUUCAGACCAUUUUAUAUGUCUUUAGUUAUAUGUACAGUAUACACACAUAUGUGUCAUAUUAUUCCAUUUUUUCUAGCAUUAAACAUUGCUAUGGAAAACUCUCGGAAAAAUAUUUAUUUGAACAGAACUUUUUCUUUUCUCAGAUGUACCCUCCUUAGGAAUCUUUCUUUGAUCCUUGAAGUUUGGUAACAACUUUAAAUAUGUGUAUCCCAGCUGGGAGCAGCGGCUCACACCUGUAAUUUCAGCACUUUGGGAGGCCGAGGAGGGUGGAUCACCUGAGGUCAGGAGUUUGCCUGGCCAACAUGGUGAAACCCCGUCUUUACUGAAAAUACAAAAAGUUAGCCAGGUGUGGUGGCUGGCACCUGUAAUCCCAGCUACAUGGGAGGCUGAGGCAGGAGAAUCGCUUGAACCUAUAGAGACAAGGUUUCACCAUGUUGACCAGGCUGGUCUCGAACUCCUGACCUCAGGUGAUCCACCCACCUCAGCCUCCCAAAAUGCUGGGAUUACAGGCAUGAGCCAUUGCACCCAGCCAUACAGGAGCAAGUUUAAAAAUUAAAUAUUUAUUUGAAUAACAAGCUUACAUUGGAGCUGCAAUGUUGGCAAUCCAGAUUUUGAACACGGAUCACAAAAAGCAUGCAUAAAAUCCUACUGGCCCAGAGAACAAAACACUGCUCAGAAUUAAGCGAAAUAGCUGCUACUGUUAAGAAAACAGGCCUGAAAUCAAUAUACAAGAUUUUAAAAAAUGUAUUGGCCGGAUGCAGUGGCUCAUUCCUGUAAUUCCAGAACUUUGGGAGGCCAAGACAGGAGAAUCACCUGAGGUCAGGAGUUCAAGACCAGCCUGGCCAACAUGGUGAAACUCCAUCUCUACUAAAAAUAAAAAAUUAGCUGGGUGUGGUGACACAUGCCUGUAGUCCCAGCUACCUGGGAGGCUGAGGCAGAAUAAUUUCUCGAACCCAGGAGGAGGAGGUUUGCAAUGGCAUGAUCUCUGCUCACCGCAACCUCCGCCUCCCGGGUUCAAGCAAUUCUCCUACUUCAGCCUCCCGAGUAGCUGGGAUUACAGGCAUGUGCCACCAUGCCUGGCUACUUUUCUGUAUUUUUAGUAGAGACAGAGUUUCUCCAUGUUGGUCAGGCUGGUCUUGAACUCACAACCUCCGGUGAUCUGCCUGCCUCGGCCUCCCAUAGUGCUGGGAUUACAGGCAUGAGCCACCAUGCCUGCCCAUGAAAGCACUUUUAAAAAGAGAGCACCUCUGCUGCCUGGUCAUAUUCUGUACCUGUUCCCAAACCCUGAAACCAGUGAUGUCAAUGGCUGCGUGGGCAUUGAACGUGUACAUGAUUCCUGCAGCUUUCCUGUUGACCUGGACCAUGUUCAUCAAUGCUUUUUGGUACAUUAAUUCUACAUCUUCUUCGGUGACCACAGUUUAUGUUUAUUUCAUUUUUCAGGAAUAUCCAGCCACUGGUGCACAGCCAUUGCCACUUGUGCCCCCAGGGGAUCUUGUCAACUCCAGUAUGUCCCCCCAGCACUGUGUUAUCUGGCAUAAUAAAUGUAGUUGGGCUGUAGUUGUAGUGACUCCUCCCAAAACAACCCAGGAGUUUAAUACUGUUUGGCCACCGGUUACAGACAUUGCUGCCCCUUCCGCUGCGGCUUUAAAAGCCUAUCUAAUCGGCUGGGUGUGAUGGUGGCUCAGACCUAUAAUCCCAGCACUUUGGGAGUCCAAGGUGGGUGGAUCACCUGAGGUCAGGAGUUUGAGACCGGCCUGGCCAACAUGGUGAAACCCCAUCUCUACUAAAAAUACAGCAAAUUAGCUGGGCGUGGUGGCGCAUGACUGUAAUCCCAGCUACUCGGGAGGCUGAGGUAGGAGAAUUGCUUGGGUGGCAGAGUAAGACUCCGUCCCAAAAAAAAAAGUUAUCUAAUCAGGGACGUCACCUUUCCCUGCCAGUCAUUUUGUUACCAAUGAAAGAAAACAUAUUCAAAUCAAUUUUUAGUUCAGAAAAUGUUUCUUUCAUUGUAUCUUUGAAUUUUAUUGUUCUGCAUUUUUUACUUCAAAAACACCUACUAUAUGCAUUUUUUCUCUCGUUUCCUUUUUUUUCCAAGAAAUGUUUUUGUCCUUUUGAUUUUUUCACUGACCAUUACCAUUAUUUAUAUACCAUGUACCUGGAGAGUUUCCAAUGUUUCUCUUUGGUCUGAGAUACUUGCUAUGAUUUUCACUUUUUAAAUGCUCUUUUGAGAUUUGUUUUGUGGCCUAAAAUGUGGUCUAUCCUGGAGAAUGUUCUGUGAGCUGAUGAGAAGAAUGCACGUUCUGCAGUUGGUGGGUGAAAUGUUCUGUAAUUACCUGUGAGGUCCCUUUGACUUCUCUUGGAGUCAGUCUGGUCUGUUACUUUUCUGCCUAGAGGGUGUGUCUGUUGCUGAAAGUGGGUGUUGGAGUCCCCAGCUAUUAUUGUCUGUCUCUGUCUGUUGCUCGAAUAACUCUUACUUUAAUAACUGGGGCUCCUGUGUCAGGUGUGUUUACAUUGACAACUGUCCUACCUUCUUGCUGAAUUGAUCUCUUUAUCGUUUUAUAAUGACCUUUAUUUUCUAUUUUUGUGCUUUUUUGACUUAAAGCCUACUUUGUGUGACAAGCAUAGCUAUACAUACUCACUUUUGGUAACACUUUUCAUUUCUUAUCAUCUUCAUUGAAUCUCACUUCUUCACAUUUACCAAAAUGUCUACUUUUGAGCUGUGGCACCUCUUUGAAUCUUCAGAUCCACCACAUGCUGAUCAAGCCUUCCUUUUUGUCUGUACUCUGAGGAAUCCCAAACAGGCAUUUUUGCAAGAAAGUCUAGGAGGGAAACAUAAAUCUAUGUGUCAAAAAAAUGAACAUAGAAAAUAAUGUGUCCUGGUUAACAAAAGUUCUCAUUGUAAAGUGUUAGGCACAAGACUAUGGAAUUUCAUGUGCCAUAAAUAAAAUUGUCUUGAUUUGUCUAAAACUACAUUUUGUCUAAAACUACUUUUAAAAAUUACAUGUUACUCUAAUA
rnacentral:lncRNA from 1 species